GUGGUGACUAGCUAUAGAAUAAAAACGAAAACAUUACAAAAUCAAAGCCCUGUUAGCCAUAGUCAAUGCAACGCCCAAAGUGAAGUCACAUUUAGAUUUCUAAAACUUGUUCCGAAAAUUAAGAAAGAAUUUGGAUGAAAUUCAAGAUUAGAUUUGUAUGACUUAUCUAACUUAUAUUAAUAACAGUGAAAAUUAUAAUACUAAUUGAUAUUUAAUUGUAGUAGUAAUUAGAUAAUUAAUUGUAUUAUCUAGCUUUGUUGGUGUUUCUUCUGAUCAAACUGCAAACCAUAUAUAUAGUGUAAAUUUCG
rnacentral:lncRNA from 1 species